UCAAAUCCGCAUCAGUAACCCUCUAGAAGAUGAGCAAAUCAACAGAAUCAACAAAAGCAUCUCAACAAAACAACCAGAAAAACCAAUAAUUAAACCAGAAAAAAGACCAACUCAGGUAUUGCUUGCUACACCACAAAUUCAACCAAUAAUUUUAAUUACUAUACUUCUAUAUAUUUUGUUUAUAAUAUUCUUUUUGGAUUUUACAGACAUUAUAUAUUAUAUGUUUUUAACUCUGCCUAUGCGAGCUUAACAAAGCAUAGUCGGUCUCAAGCUUGGGGAAAGGAGGAAGGUUGUGGUAGGUUGACAACCAAUGUAAAACUAAAUCAAUUCUCAUGAGUACGGAUCUUUUUGAUAUAAACUUGAGGACAUGCCCACUUAGGCAUGCGCUAUAUCGACACUUGAGUUUAGUGCUAAACGAGCAAGGGAUUUUAGCAUACCGCCUCUUGAGUGUGUCGGAUUAUACAAGCGAGAGUUCCCACAUCAUAGACGAGUGUGAGCAAAAAAGCUAGUCAUGCCAGGAACAUACAAGGCACAAACCAAAUAGCUUUUAAGGAAGCUAUUGAUAGAAGGUGUAUGUAAUUUAGACAAUAGCUUUGAUACCGAGAGAAGUUCAUUGGUGUGUGCUAGAACAAAAAAGUCAAUCUCAAAUAUACAAAUGUCAUUAAGAACACAUAUGAGGGAGCGAUUACAAGUGUGAAAACAAUAGAAGAUGAUACGGACAAGUUAUCCAUAACAGUGGGUUUACAUCAGGGAUUAGCUUUGAGUCCAUAUUUGUUUGCUUAGUUAUGGCUAAACAAUUAUAUUCAAUAUGAUGUGCCACGGUGCUCUUUAUUUGCAGAUAAUAUUGUCUUAGUGGAUAAAAUAAGUGAAAAAGUUUAUUAAAGUUGGAGUUGUGGAGAAAGAUUAUUGAGAAUAAGAGCUUUAUGCUAAUUAGAAGUAUGACAAAAUAUGUAUAUUGCGAGUUUAGCACUCAGUGAAGAAAUGAAAGGGAGGUUCAAUUGGAUGGAAUUUUGGAGCCAAAAUGUAGUUAAUUUAAAUAUUUAGGUUCUAUCAUUCAAAAGAAUGAAGUAAUAAAUGAGGAUGUUUCUCGUAGGAUGAAAACAAGGUGGAUGAAAUGGAAGAGUGCAACAGGUGUUUUAUGCGAUCGUAAGAUCCCUAACGAAGUUAAGAUUUAUAUAAUUGUGAUCAGGUUAGCUUUGGUAUAUAGGAGUGAAUAUUGGGGCAUCUAAGGGACAACAUAUCUACAAGAUGAGUGUGGCAAAGAUACGGAUAUUAAAAUGGAUGUCUAGUUGGGUGGACGCAAGAUUAAAUAU
rnacentral:misc_RNA from 1 species